AGUUGGUGGGUUGACUUGUCUGGUUAAUUUCGAUAACGAACGAGAUCCGAGCUGUUUAUUUGCAUUUGCUAUCACAGUAAUAUGUUCUUAAAUGGACCAUCAGCUUAAGUUGAGGGAAGUGUCGGGCUAAAUCAGG
rnacentral:rRNA from 1 species